rnacentral:lncRNA from 1 species
AUGCACGACGUUAUAUUCACCAGGAGGAAGGACUCUGCCACUGAGUCGCAAUGUUCCUUUCCCCUCACUUACAGGGAUGAAUGCAGUGGUCCGGUGGCUGGACCAGAUCAUCAGUAUAUUUGUUCUCCUGUCCGUGGGCCAGGUGAUGACAUGGGCAUCUCAUGUGAUCAAUUGAGGUUUCAUUCUUGGAUGGAACUUGCUUUCACUUCUUGUGGAGUUUCUAUUUCGGUCCAGGAUUUAUCAACUAGUUCCCCAUUUGCUUGUAAAAACCCAGCGACAAGCAGAGGGGCGCUUCCAAAAAAGGCAACAGGAGGCUGUGAAUAUUCAAGACUCUUGGGAAAUCACUGAUGGAUUCAUCAACAAGCCCAAAACUUUGGGAACACUGACGGUCCACGAGUCUACCCCUGCAGGACAACAGGCCUCAACUACCGGCUUUCCUCUCUGCCUCCAAAAUGCACGAAGGCUGCUGUGCAUGUGCCAGGAGGGACGGGACGCAUACUGCAGGCGGACUGUCUUCUUGGCUGGCUUGGGCUUGGACUUCCUCCACAUGACGGUGCUGGGAUCCAACUGCAUCACCACCGGCUAUGUCUACACCCAAGGGAUUGGAGACUCCCUGCUUAGCAUCCUCAGGGCCCCUUCAGCUUUAUCCGGCCUGCCGGGCACAAUGCUCUUCAGCAGGUUCAGGGGCACUAUGGCUUGAUCAGCACAGGAAUCACAUCCAGCUGGUCCCAGGUAGGCUGUCUGACACUGCGUCUUCUUUGUCUUUGCUACUGGAAGUCCUUUAGAUCUGACUGUUUUCUCACUUUCCCUAAGCCAGAAUUCUUCUUCCAACCACAAGUUGCUAAAAGAGGAUGAGGUACGUGUUUAUUUCUUUGGAAGAAACAUGAACCAGCCUAUCCUUCUGGACUGCUCCUCCAUCCAUUGAACCAAAGCACAUUUCUGUUUGAAGGCAGCCAGGACCUGGAGCACCGAGUCUUACAUCUCCACCAUGUCGUUACUCUAGGGUAUGAUCCUGGCAAGAAUCGGUGAGUAUGGGUCAUGUGUGACAUGGGAUUCUGCAGACUGUGAUGAUGUUGAGGAAUCUUAGAGGCAUUUGAUGGUUUCACCACUGUGCACUGUAAGUCUUUAUCAUUCAUUCACCUAGAACAUGUUACAUGGAAAGAGCUGUCCUAGACACUGGAGAUACUAGUGUGGUUUCAUCAGACAAAGUCUUAGCCCCACGGAGCAUACACUGUGGAUGGGAGGCCAUUGAGUAAAUAGUUAACUACAGUCAACAAUAUGAAGUGAUCGGAGCUAUGUUGGGGGGAGGGCAGAAGAUUGAGGACAUAUGGGAGGGACACCAAACCUGGUCUUUGGAGUUAGAGAAGCCUUCCUAGAGGGAGGCACAAUUGAGAGAUCCCUGAAGAACAAGCUGGACAGGUGACAUGGAGAAGAAAGAGUGCUCUAGACCAGACAGGCAGUUGUACAGUUGUACAAAGGCUUUUUGAAAUGUGAAGACAUGGAAAUUUGGGGAAGUGAAAGUAGCUAUCUCCUAGCUGUCAAGCACAUAAAUGCUACAGAUGGCAUCUACAUGAAAGGAGGAUUUUGAUCUGGAUCCUUCUCCAUGGAGCUGGGGUGGAGGGACAGGAAAGAGGGCAGCUUGGUGGAGUUCAAACCUUCCUUAGCUGCCUAGGGGAGUGGAGGGGAAUCCUUUCCCAGGACAAGGUGCCUAACUUUGAGGCUCUACAAGCUUGCCUGCUCUAAGAAGCUGGUCUUGGAACUUUGCCACCAACCACAUGCCGUUCAUAUGUGGCAGUGAGAACUUACCUAAUUUGGUAAGGGUGUUUAGAUUAAAAAAAAUUUUUUUUAAUGUUUAUUCAUUUUUGAGAGACAGAGAGAGACAGACCAUGAGCGGGGAAGAGGCAGAGAGGGAGACACAGAAUCCAAAGCAGGGUCCAGGGUCUGAGUUGUCAGCACAGAGCCCGAUGUGGGGCUCUAACUCACGAACUGCGAGAUCGUGACCUGAGCCAAAGUUGGACACUCAACCGACUAAGCCUCCCAGGCGCCCUUAAAUUUUUAUUAAAGUUUGAUCAGUUGAUGCAUGGUGACUCCAUCAGUGACAUGUUGGGAUCAGCAGUGAUGGCAAUGGAAACAGCUUAACAGCAUAAGGUGUUUAGACCCAGCGAUUAGACCUGCAGAUUCCCAGCCUGGGCAGAAUCUGGGCCUUGCUCUUAGACAUGGGAUCCCUGUUUCCACCCAAGCCUUGUUCUAUCCCCCAAAUCCAGAGUCAUCACCUUCAAAGCCCCUCCCUGAGGUUGCAGCCCAGAAACAGUGGAUUCCUCAAGCAGGUCAGAAAUGCAAGGAGUGGAACGUGUGGUAGUGGGUGGUAGAAGGUGUGGAUCGAAAACCAAAUCUACCUUCUUCAUUCAUUCAACAAACCUCAUCUGCUAACUCUAGGUCCUAGGUUUCGGUAAGGUCCCUGACCUCUAGGGACUCAGAGCUUUACCUUCUCACCUCUGGAGCCACAGUGGAGUGAGAGCAUGGGGCUGGGGGAUAUUUGCAUGAUUUUUGCCAGCGUGACCCAGAAACCCUUGGUCCACAGAAGCUUUGGAACACUGGGAGAGGGGAAAUGAGGUUUUUGUAGAUCAGAUUCAAGAGAUUAUAGAACCAUGGGCUAGCCUGGGAACCUCAUUCCUCUGAUGUAAAAUAUGUGUGUGAGAAAGAAAUUGUGUUCCUAAUUCUAAAUGACUGAUUAGAAACCUGUUCAUUCAUCUGGAGUUUACCUAACCUCUAAAAUAUUUUAAGGGGGACGGUGCCUGAGCAGCUCAGUCAAGUUAACUGUCUGACUUUGGCUCAGGUCAUGAUCUCACGGUUCGUGGGUUCAAGCCCAUGUUAGGCUCUGUGCUGAUAGCUCAGAGCCUGGAGCCUGCUUCAGAUUCUGUGUCUCCCUCUCUCUCUGCCCCUCCCCUUCUCACACUGUCUCUCUCUGUCUCAAAAAUAAACAUUAAAAAAUUUUUUUAAAAAGAUAUUUU